AACGAACGCUGGCGGCAUGCCUAACACAUGCAAGUCGAACGAGACCUUCGGGUCUAGUGGCGCACGGGUGCGUAACGCGUGGGAAUCUGCCCCUCGGUUCGGAAUAACACAGAGAAAUUUGUGCUAAUACCGGAUAAUGACGAAAGUCCAAAGAUUUAUCGCCGAGGGAUGAGCCCGCGUAGGAUUAGCUUGUUGGUGGGGUAAUGGCCCACCAAGGCGACGAUCCUUAGCUGGUCUGAGAGGAUGAUCAGCCACACUGGGACUGAGACACGGCCCAGACUCCUACGGGAGGCAGCAGUGGGGAAUAUUGGACAAUGGGCGAAAGCCUGAUCCAGCAAUGCCGCGUGAGUGAUGAAGGCCCUAGGGUUGUAAAGCUCUUUUACCAGGGAUGAUAAUGACAGUACCUGGAGAAUAAGCUCCGGCUAACUCCGUGCCAGCAGCCGCGGUAAAGUCUGUACU
rnacentral:rRNA from 1 species